GCGAGGGUUGCCAAGCCAGGUCAAAGGCGCUAGGUUGAGGGCCUAGUCACGUAGGUGUUCGAGGGUUCGAAUCCCUUCCCUCGCA
rnacentral:tRNA from 2 species